GACGAACGCUGGCGGCGUGCUUAACACAUGCAAGUCGAACGAUGACGACCGAGCUUGCUCGGUCUGAUUAGUGGCGAACGGGUGAGUAACACGUGAGCAACCUGCCCUUCACUCUGGGAUAACCUCGGGAAAUCGGGGCUAAUACCGGAUAUGAGCUCCUGUCGCAUGGCGGGUGUUGGAAAGUUUUUCGGUGAAGGAUGGGCUCGCGGCCUAUCAGUUUGUUGGUGAGGUAGGGGCUCACCAAGGCGAUGACGGGUAGCCGGCCUGAGAGGGCGACCGGCCACACUGGGACUGAGACACGGCCCAGACUCCUACGGGAGGCAGCAGUGGGGAAUAUUGCACAAUGGGCGAAAGCCUGAUGCAGCGACGCCGCGUGAGGGAUGACGGCCUUCGGGUUGUAAACCUCUUUCAGCAGGGAAGAAGCGAAAGUGACGGUACCUGUAGAAGAAGCGCCGGCUAACUACGUG
rnacentral:rRNA from 1 species